AGAUUGAACGCUGGCGGCAGGCCUAACACAUGCAAGUCGAGCGGUAGAGAGGUGCUUGCAUCUCUUGAGAGCGGCGGACGGGUGAGUAAUGCCUAGGAAUCUGCCUAGUGGUGGGGGAUAACGUUCGGAAACGGACGCUAAUACCGCAUACGUCCUACGGGAGAAAGCGGGGGACCUUCGGGCCUCGCGCCAUUAGAUGAGCCUAGGUCGGAUUAGUAGUUGGUGAGGUAAUGGCUCACCAAGGCGACGAUCCGUAACUGGUCUGAGAGGAUGAUCAGUCACACUGGAACUGAGACACGGUCCAGACUCCUACGGGAGCAGCAAGUGGGAAUAUUGGACAAUGGGCGAAAGCCUGAUCCAAGCCAUGCCGCGUGUGUGAAGAAGGUCUCGGAUUGAAAGCAACUUUAAGUUGGAAGGAAGGUUGUAAACCUAAUACGUUGACAACUUUGACGUUACGACAGAAUAAGCACGGCUAAACUCGU
rnacentral:rRNA from 1 species